GAGCAGUCUAAUACGAAAUUAUGUCAUUUUAUGAGAUAAUCGACAAAUUCUUUUCAUUGGUAUUGCAUCUUCGAUCUGAUCGAAAUAUCUUGAGAAAUUUUUUGAUUUGCUUCUCUACUCACAUCUGAAUUCUUUGAAUCUUUCAACAAUUUCAGAUUUUGUAUUUCAUAUACAAAAUAGAGACAACUCCUUGGUUAGCACAUC
rnacentral:lncRNA from 1 species